rnacentral:ribozyme from 13 species
GGAAAGACUGAGAACAAAAAGGAAGAGGGAUUGCUUGAACAUGAUGGAAUAUUUGAAGGUGGUUUGUUUCGUCCUUGGGUUUUGGAUGUUGUUUUUCAACUUUUCUUG